GAAAUGGGAGGGUGGGAAAGA
rnacentral:miRNA from 1 species